UACGAAGGGGGCUAGCGUUGCUCGGAAUCACUGGGCGUAAAGAGCUCGUAGGCGGCUUGUUGCGUCGGCUGUGAAAACCCGCGGCUUAACCGUGGGCUUGCAGCCGAUACGGGCAGGCUAGAGUUCGGUAGGGGAGACUGGAAUUCCGGUGGAGCGGUGAAAUGCAUUGAGAUCGGAAAGAACACCAACGGCGAAAGCACUCUGCUGGGCCGACACUGACACUGAGAGACGAAAGCUAGGGGAGCAAAUGGG
rnacentral:rRNA from 1 species